GUGACUAACCUACCCUCGAGUGGGGAAUAACCCCGGGAAACCGGGGCUAACACCGCAUAACAUCGAGAGAUCAAAUGCGAAAGCAGCUUGAGGAGGGGGUCGCGGUUGAUUAGCUAGUUGGUAGGGUAAUGGCCUACCAAGGCAAUGAUCAAUAGCCGGCCUGAGAGGGCGCACGGCCACACUGGAACUGAAACACGGUCCAGACUCCUACGGGAGGCAGCAGUGGGGAAUUUUGCGCAAUGGGGGAAACCCUGACGCAGCAAUGCCGCGUGGAGGAUGAAGUCCUUUGGGAUGUAAACUCCUUUCGAUCGGGAAGAUAAUGACGGUACCGGAAGAAGAAGCCCCGGCUAACUCUGUGCCAGCAGCCGCGGUAAUACAGAGGGGGCAAGCGUUGUUCGGAAUUAUUGGGCGUAAAGGGCGCGUAGGCGGUGCGGUAAGUCACUUGUGAAAUCUCUGGGCUCAACUCAGAGUCUGCAAGCGAAACUGCCGUGCUUGAGUGUCGGAGAGGUAAGUGGAAUU
rnacentral:rRNA from 1 species